CAGGAACCCAGGCCCCAGCAGCUGAGGCGAGCGACAGCCAGAGCAGCGACUCGCCGACUCGCGCAUCUACAGGACUUCAGCGACUCACGGCGGCGGCCCGGCGGCGCACUAGCGGCCGGCGGCGGCGGUGCGGCGGAUUCGCGACUGCGCGCGCGGCGCGCGCCCUCAGUGCCACUGUGUGAGGGCCGACCGGCCGAGUGGGCGAGCCGGUGAGGGGGCCAGCCGGGCAGGGCGUCAGGCUGCUGGCGGUCGGCGCAUCUGCUUGUGGCGGCCUGCCGCCCAGGCCGCCGCCGCCGCGGUGCCGCGGACUGCGCAGGCGCGCAAGGCACCACCAGCCAUGGAGCUCUCACCGACUCGCUGCUCGCCCUUUGUCCGCCUGCCAUCAUCACCCAUCAGUGCCAUCAGGUAACAAAUCCAUCGCAUGGCCCUCCCAUCCUACAAUUGUGUCUGCUGCCAACUUGGAACUGUGAAAACUCUAGUUCUCUUGUUCAUAACUCACCCUUUUGCUAGUGCAUGUUGGGGGGCCAUUUCACUCCAAGUCAGAUUUGCUGAACUCUUCUCAGUUCUGGAAGACUUUUGUUUGUGACCUCUUCGGCGCCCCCACCACAAUUGGACGACUCUAGAGAUGGAGAAGGGAGAAGACAGAGCUGUUGGCUGCACUGGGCGAAGCAAGGGGGAAGCUAUAGGAGGGGAGAAUUGUGCUAGCUGCAGAGCUGAGAGCUGUCAAGAAAGAAUUCAGGCCAAAGACAAUGCUGUUGCUGUACUUAGUGAAAGGGUCAUGUAAUGUAAUGUUCAUUGACAAUGAAAUGGAUAUCUUUGUCAUAGCUCUCUGUAAACUCUGUAACUACUUGUUCAUGCAAAGCAAUAAAGUUCAGGCAACCAAAAGCCUGCCGUAGUUCUAUUCAAAAAGAA